rnacentral:rRNA from 1 species
GGUCAAGUGAAGAAGCGCAUACGGUGGAUGCCUUGGCAGUCAGAGGCGAUGAAAGACGUGGUAGCCUGCGAAAAGCUUCGGGGAGUCGGCAAACAGACUGUGAUCCGGAGAUGUCUGAAUGGGGGAACCCAGCCAUCAUAAGAUGGUUAUCUUACACUGAAUACAUAGGUGUAAGAGGCGAACCAGGGGAACUGAAACAUCUAAGUACCCUGAGGAAAAGAAAUCAACCGAGAUUCCCUUAGUAGUGGCGAGCGAACGGGGACCAGCCCUUAAGUUGUAUUGAGAUUAGCGGAACGCUCUGGAAAGUGCGGCCAUAGUGGGUGAUAGCCCUGUACGCGAAAAUCCCUUUGCAAUGAAAUCGAGUAGGACGGGGCACGAGAAACCUUGUCUGAAUAUGGGGGGACCAUCCUCCAAGGCUAAAUACUACUGACUGACCGAUAGUGAACCAGUACCGUGAGGGAAAGGCGAAAAGAACCGCGGAGAGCGGAGUGAAAUAGAUCCUGAAACCGUAUGCGUACAAGCAGUGGGAGCCCACUUUGUUGGGUGACUGCGUACCUUUUGUAUAAUGGGUCAGCGACUUAUUUUCAGUGGCGAGCUUAACCGAAUAGGGGAGGCGUAGCGAAAGCGAGUCUUAAUAGGGCGUCUAGUCGCUGGGAAUAGACCCGAAACCGGGCGAUCUAUCCAUGGGCAGGUUGAAGGUUGGGUAACACUAACUGGAGGACCGAACCGACUACCGUUGAAAAGUUAGCGGAUGACCUGUGGAUCGGAGUGAAAGGCUAAUCAAGCUCGGAGAUAGCUGGUUCUCCUCGAAAGCUAUUUAGGUAGCGCCUCAUGUAUCACUGUAGGGGGUAGAGCACUGUUUCGGCUAGGGGGUCAUCCCGACUUACCAAACCGAUGCAAACUCCGAAUACCUACAAGUGCCGAGCAUGGGAGACACACGGCGGGUGCUAACGUCCGUCGUGAAAAGGGAAACAACCCAGACCGUCAGCUAAGGUCCCAAAGUCAUGGUUAAGUGGGAAACGAUGUGGGAAGGCUUAGACAGCUAGGAGGUUGGCUUAGAAGCAGCCACCCUUUAAAGAAAGCGUAAUAGCUCACUAGUCGAGUCGGCCUGCGCGGAAGAUGUAACGGGGCUCAAACCAUGCACCGAAGCUACGGGUAUCAUCUUAUGAUGAUGCGGUAGAGGAGCGUUCUGUAAGCCUGUGAAGGUGAGUUGAGAAGCUUGCUGGAGGUAUCAGAAGUGCGAAUGCUGACAUGAGUAACGACAAUGGGUGUGAAAAACACCCACGCCGAAAGACCAAGGUUUCCUGCGCAACGUUAAUCGACGCAGGGUUAGUCGGUCCCUAAGGCGAGGCUGAAAAGCGUAGUCGAUGGAAAACAGGUUAAUAUUCCUGUACUUCUGGUUAUUGCGAUGGAGGGACGGAGAAGGCUAGGCCAGCCUGGCGUUGGUAGUCCAGGUUUAAGGUGGUAGGCUGAGAUCUUAGGUAAAUCCGGGAUCUUAAGGCCGAGAGCUGAUGACGAGUGUUCUUUUAGAACAUGAAGUGGUUGAUGCCAUGCUUCCAAGAAAAGCUUCUAAGCUUCAGGUAACCAGGAACCGUACCCCAAACCGACACAGGUGGUUGGGUAGAGAAUACCAAGGCGCUUGAGAGAACUCGGGUGAAGGAACUAGGCAAAAUGGCACCGUAACUUCGGGAGAAGGUGCGCCGGUGAGGGUGAAGCAUUUACUGCGUAAGCCCACGCCGGUCGAAGAUACCAGGCCGCUGCGACUGUUUAUUAAAAACACAGCACUCUGCAAACACGAAAGUGGACGUAUAGGGUGUGACGCCUGCCCGGUGCCGGAAGGUUAAUUGAUGGGGUUAGCGCAAGCGAAGCUCUUGAUCGAAGCCCCGGUAAACGGCGGCCGUAACUAUAACGGUCCUAAGGUAGCGAAAUUCCUUGUCGGGUAAGUUCCGACCUGCACGAAUGGCGUAACGAUGGCGGCGCUGUCUCCACCCGAGACUCAGUGAAAUUGAAAUCGCUGUGAAGAUGCAGUGUAUCCGCGGCUAGACGGAAAGACCCCGUGAACCUUUACUAUAGCUUUGCACUGGACUUUGAAUUUGCUUGUGUAGGAUAGGUGGGAGGCUUUGAAGCGUGGACGCCAGUCUGCGUGGAGCCAACCUUGAAAUACCACCCUGGCAACUUUGAGGUUCUAACUCAGGUCCGUUAUCCGGAUCGAGGACAGUGUAUGGUGGGUAGUUUGACUGGGGCGGUCUCCUCCUAAAGAGUAACGGAGGAGUACGAAGGUGCGCUCAGACCGGUCGGAAAUCGGUCGUAGAGUAUAAAGGCAAAAGCGCGCUUGACUGCGAGACAGACACGUCGAGCAGGUACGAAAGUAGGUCUUAGUGAUCCGGUGGUUCUGUAUGGAAGGGCCAUCGCUCAACGGAUAAAAGGUACUCCGGGGAUAACAGGCUGAUACCGCCCAAGAGUUCAUAUCGACGGCGGUGUUUGGCACCUCGAUGUCGGCUCAUCACAUCCUGGGGCUGAAGCCGGUCCCAAGGGUAUGGCUGUUCGCCAUUUAAAGUGGUACGCGAGCUGGGUUUAGAACGUCGUGAGACAGUUCGGUCCCUAUCUGCCGUGGACGUUUGAGAUUUGAGAGGGGCUGCUCCUAGUACGAGAGGACCGGAGUGGACGAACCUCUGGUGUUCCGGUUGUCACGCCAGUGGCAUUGCCGGGUAGCUAUGUUCGGAAAAGAUAACCGCUGAAAGCAUCUAAGCGGGAAACUUGCCUCAAGAUGAGAUCUCACUGGAACCUUGAGUUCCCUGAAGGGCCGUCGAAGACUACGACGUUGAUAGGUUGGGUGUGUAAGCGCUGUGAGGCGUUGAGCUAACCAAUACUAAUUGCCCGUGAGGCUUGACCAU